CCGUCGACCCAAGAGAGUCGGGAAUAACCACCGUAGGAAACAGAUGACUAAUACGGAUAACAACAGAUGAUGCCUAUCAACUGUUUAAAAGAUGGUUCUGCUAUCACUCUUGGAUGGACCUGCGGUGCAUUAGCUAGUUGGUAGGGUAACGGCCUACCAAGGCGAUGAUGCAUAGCCGAGUUGAGAGACUGAUCGGCCACAUUGGGACUGAGACACGGCCCAAACUCCUACGGGAGGCAGCAGUC
rnacentral:rRNA from 1 species